rnacentral:tRNA from 1 species
GGAAGUAUAGCUCUGUGGUAGGGUAUGUGCCUAGCAUGCGUGAGGUCCUGGGUUCAAUCCCCAGUACCUCAA